GGUGAACACGGAGCUUGCUCUGUGGGAUCAGUGGCGAACGGGUGAGUAACACGUGAGCAACCUGCCCCUGACUCUGGGAUAAGCGCUGGAAACGGCGUCUAAUACUGGAUAUGUGACGUGACCGCAUGGUCUGCGUCUGGAAAGAAUUUCGGUUGGGGAUGGGCUCGCGGCCUAUCAGCUUGUUGGUGAGGUAAUGGCUCACCAAGGCGUCGACGGGUAGCCGGCCUGAGAGGGUGACCGGCCACACUGGGACUGAGACACGGCCCAGACUCCUACGGGAGGCAGCAGUGGGGAAUAUUGCACAAUGGGCGCAAGCCUGAUGCAGCAACGCCGCGUGAGGGACGACGGCCUUCGGGUUGUAAACCUCUUUUAGCAGGGAAGAAGCGAAAGUGACGGUACCUGCAGAAAAAGCGCCGGCUAACUACGUGCCAGCAGCCGCGGUAAUACGUAGGGCGCAAGCGUUAUCCGGAAUUAUUGGGCGUAAAGAGCUCGUAGGCGGUUUGUCGCGUCUGCUGUGAAAUCCGGAGGCUCAACCUCCGGCCUGCAGUGGGUACGGGCAGACUAGAGUGCGGUAGGGGAGAUUGGAAUUCCUGGUGUAGCGGUGGAAUGCGCAGAUAUCAGGAGGAACACCGAUGGCGAAGGCAGAUCUCUGGGCCGUAACUGACGCUGAGGAGCGAAAGGGUGGGGAGCAAACAGGCUUAGAUACCCUGGUAGUCCACCCCGUAAACGUUGGGAACUAGUUGUGGGGUCCAUUCCACGGAUUCCGUGACGCAGCUAACGCAUUAAGUUCCCCGCCUGGGGAGUACGGCCGCAAGGCUAAAACUCAAAGGAAUUGACGGGGGACCCGCACAAGCGGCGGAGCAUGCGGAUUAAUUCGAUGCAACGCG
rnacentral:rRNA from 1 species